CAAGUCGUAACAAGGUAUCCGUAGGUGAACCUGCGGAUGGAUCAUUACCAAAGAUCCCAUCCACGUACUGUGAACUGUUUUGACUAACGGUCAGUGGGAGCUGUAGUGUGCGCCUCGGCACACGCUACUGUAACCGCUGCCCGUAUCAACAAACGUAUAUUCCAACAACUGACGUCUCUUUAGUAAAUCAUAACUAAAGACAACUUUUAGCAACGGAUCUCUAGGCUCUU
rnacentral:misc_RNA from 1 species